rnacentral:rRNA from 1 species
UACGUAGGUCCCGAGCGUUGUCCGGAUUUAUUGGGCGUAAAGCGAGCGCAGGUGGUUUAUUAAGUCUGGUGUAAAAGGCAGUGGCUCAACCAUUGUAUGCAUUGGAAACUGGUAGACUUGAGUGCAGGAGAGGAGAGUGGAACUCCAUGUGUAGCGGUGAAAUGCGUAGAUAUAUGGAAGAACACCAGUGGCGAAAGCGGCUCUCUGGUCUGUAACUGACGCUGAGGUUCGAAAGCGUGGGUAGCAAACAGG